GUUCCGGGAAAUGGCUUCUUGGUCUUACAUUGUAUGAGUUCAGGGAGGGAGAAGGAAAGGCCCUGCAUCCCACUGCUGGCGCUGAGUGCGAACGGCUCCGGGCCUGCCUCCCGCCGCUCUGCCUUCCUCACCAGGCUAUCUCGGCAGGCUCUCUGGGCGUAGGCUCUCCAAGCCCGUUUCCUCGGCAGCCUUGUGGGGACAAAACAACAGCAUGUCUUCUCAAGGUGGUUGUGAGGAUGAAACACAGUUCCUACUUGCAGUGUUCGGUGCGGUGCCGAGCAGGCUGCAGGCUGCAGGCCGGAGCUCACUGUCAUCACCAAGCGCGCUAAGUCAGAGCAGAAGGCUCAGGUGGCUGUGGGUGCACCCAUAGGAGCGGCAGCAGGAGAGGAUUCGUUCCUAACAGCCCUGCCCGCCAGCCUGGCCCAGGAGUAAAGAAUUCCUCGAGUCUUGGAUCCCCCGGUUUUCCUGGUGACUCCACCAGGACAGGGUCUGCACUACUUGUUGCCUCCAACCAAAGCCUUGUCAGGUGCAGUAUACACACAGGCCUCAUGUGUCUUGCUGUCCUUAACUUAUCAAGUCCUCAAGGCCAUGGUAAGUCGGCCUUGAGUCUGACCUCACUCUCUUAGCAUUGAAUUCCUUGGCUAUUUAUUCUCAGCUUGGUACUCACGUUUUGUUACUGAUUCCCAUGCAUCUUUGAUGGAACCAGGCCAUUCAUUUCAUUUUGCUGUCUUUUUUGUUACUGUUUUCUGUGCUGUCUAAAAGUGCUGUUUGUUAUAAGAAGGAGAAUCAUAGGAUAGACCACAGGCAUGGGCGUCAGAACACUGCUGCUGAAGCUGGCCUCACAGACCUGUGAGUUUGGGAUUCUCACCAGACCAGCAUCCACUAGGACAAACGUUGCUGUGGAGUCACCAGCGAAACCGGAUGAGGUUCUUCCAUCUGGAUUUUGUGUCCCGAGAGCCUUAAUCCUUGCCAUGGCAGGCUGGUUCUAUUAAAAUACAUCAAAACAGAUCCUAACGAUUCCAUGUCACCCCAGC